GCGCCGCACUUUCCCAAUUCACCCAACUCCCUCAACUCCAUCGUCUCACUCUCUCACCUCUGCGUCACCCGCCAUGCAGCCUCUGCGUCGCCCGCCGUGCAGCCUCUGCGUCGCCGUGCCGCCUAUGUUGGUACUUAAUAAUUUCAUAUCUGUUGGUACCUGAUCAGGCCAGCUGCAGUGAAGCAGAAAUCCCAACCUGCAGAAGAAAAAGUCGACAGAAUAAAAAUGGUGAAACCGACUGAGCAUCAAAAUGGGGAAGAAAGGAUCGAGACCAUAAAGAUAUAUGUUUAUUAUGAGUUUUGAGCACAAUUUACUAACACAGUUUUGAGCACAAUUUACCUGUGUUAGACGUCGGUCAGCACCCCAGAAAUCCCAAAAUAUCAUAAUCUGCUAAGUUGGGUUUUGAGUUAAAUUUCUUUUUGCUGUUGAUCUGGGUCAGUGCCAAAAUUAUCAUUAAUCUGAGAAGGGAAAAAA